UGCAUACUACCUCCUUGCCGCGCCCGGGCUUCACGGCGGCGGCGUGUACGUGUUCCUGCAGCACGCACGACGCCUACAAGUCCAACUUCUGCACGCUAAAUCGGAGCUAUCGGGCCUGGAAAGCAAGAAACGAGCACCAACACCACCUGCCUCCAAAAGGUUUAUAUCUCAAGUCAAUCCAGCAUUUCAUAUCGAGUCUACGAGGUGCUCUGUUCAAAACCAACACUACAGGUUACCAUCUGAAGCUGCCUUUUAUCACCCAAUCUGAGC